UUCUGUUUAGAUACUUUUGUCCACUUACUUGGAAAAUUAGGCAGAAAUCAAUUUCCAAGUUGGAUACUUGUAUUAUCUAUCUGAAUUUCCUGUUUUCGGAUAGGGAACAGUAACUCCAUUACUCUUCUUUGUCAAUUGCAAAUUUUGAGGGGUUUAAGACUAGGAUUAGUCCCCAACUUCAUUCUUUUGAGUUCUAAACAUUCUCAAGUCUCAAUUUCAUAUUUUUGCUAAGUUUGUCCGAAUUUAAAUUCCAAAAUUCAAAUUUUGGUCAAAUUCAACUCGAAUUUGACUUUUAGUCGAUUUCUUUCCUAUUUCCCAC
rnacentral:lncRNA from 1 species